GCCGCGGCCAUCGGGCGGGCGCUGAUCGCCGCGGAAUCCGGCGGGAAGCUCGGCGCGCUGGGCUGGCCCGCGUUCGGCGUCGCGCCGCUGUUC
rnacentral:tRNA from 1 species